rnacentral:rRNA from 1 species
AUUGAACGCUGGCGGCAUGCCUUACACAUGCAAGUCGAACGGCAGCACGGGGGCAACCCUGGUGGCGAGUGGCGCACGGGUGAGUAAUGCAUCGGAACGUGCCCAGCAGUGGGGGAUAACUAUCCGAAAGGAUGGCUAAUACCGCAUACGACCUGAGGGUGAAAGCGGGGGAUCUUCGGACCUCGCGCGAUUCGAGCGGCCGAUGGCAGAUUAGGUAGUUGGUGGGGUAAAGGCCUACCAAGCCUGCGAUCUGUAGCCGGUCUGAGAGGACGACCAGCCACACUGGGACUGAGACACGGCCCAGACUCCUACGGGAGGCAGCAGUGGGGAAUUUUGGACAAUGGGCGCAAGCCUGAUCCAGCCAUACCGCGUGCGGGAAGAAGGCCUUCGGGUUGUAAACCGCUUUUGUCAGGGAAGAAAUCUUCUGGGCUAAUACCUCGGGAGGAUGACGGUACCUGAAGAAUAAGCACCGGCUAACUACGUGCCAGCCGCCGCAGUAAGAC